CCUACGGGGGGCUGCAGUGGGGAAUAUUGGACAAUGGGCGAAAGCCUGAUCCAGCAAUACCGCGUGUGUGAAGAAGGCCUGAGGGUUGUAAAGCACUUUCAAUGGGAAGGAAUACCUACCGGCUAAUACCCGGUAGACUGACAUUACCCAUACAAGAAGCACCGGCUAACUCCGUGCCAGCAGCCGCGGUAAUACGGCGGGUGCAAGCGUUAAUCGGAAUCACUGGGCGUAGGCUUUGCCUAGGCGGCUUGAAAGCCCUGGGCUUAACCGGGGAACUGCAUUUGAUACUGGCAGGCUAGAGUUUAGUAGAGGGGAGUGGAAUUUCAGGUGUAGCGGUGAAAUGCGUAGAGAUCUGAAGGAACACCAGUGGCGAAGGCGGCUCCCUGGACUAAAACUGACGCUGAGGUACGAAAGCGUGGGUAGCAAACAGGAUUAGAUACCCCAGUAGUC
rnacentral:rRNA from 1 species